rnacentral:rRNA from 1 species
GACAUGACUCUCGACAGUGGAUAUCUUAGAUCUCACAUCGAUGAAGAGCGCAGUGAAAUGCAAUACGUGGUGCGAAUUGCAGAAUCCCACGAACCAUCGAGUCUUUGAACGCAAGUUGCGCCCAAGGCCAAUCGGUCCAGGGCACGUCCGCUUGGGUGUCAAAA